rnacentral:rRNA from 1 species
AGCUCCAAUAGCGUAUAUUAAAGUUGUUGCAGUUAAAAAGCUCGUAGUUGGAUUUCUGGCAGGAGCGACCGGUCGCGCACUAUGUGCGUGAACUUGGCUGUCUCUGGCCAUCCUUGGGGAGAUCCUGUUUGGCAUUAAGUUGUCGGGCAGGGGAUACCCAUCGUUUACUGUGAAAAAAUUAGAGUGUUUAAAGCAGGCUUAUGCCGUUGAAUAUAUUAGCAUGGAAUAAUAAGAUAGGACUUCGGAACUAUUUUGUUGGUUUGCGUUACGAAGUAAUGAUUAAUAGGGACAGUUGGGGGUAUUCGUAUUCCGUUGUCAGAGGUGAAAUUCUUGGAUUUCCGGAAGACGAACUACUGCGAAAGCAUUUACCAAGGAUGUUUUCAUUA